rnacentral:antisense_RNA from 2 species
CUUGACGGUAGCUGUGCGCAGGGCGUCUUCGGGCGCACCGGUUUCGCUUCGUCCGGUCUACUAACCUGCGUACAGCUGCCACCCCU